rnacentral:rRNA from 1 species
UACGUAGGGGGCAAGCGUUGUCCGGAUUUAUUGGGCGUAAAGCGCGUGUAGGCGGCCACACAGGUCCGCUGUGAAAACUCGAGGCUCAACCUCGAGCUGUCGGUGGAAACCGUGUGGCUAGAGUCCGGAAGAGGAGACUGGAAUUCCCGGUGUAGAGGUGAAAUUCGUAGAUAUCGGGAGGAACACCAGUGGCGAAGGCGGCUCUCUGGACCGAGACUGACGCUGAGGCGCGAAAGCGUGGGGAGCAAACAGG